UACUGUUUCUUUGCUGAGACAAAUUAAUUGCCAAGGUUGCGGCUCUUGCAGUUGGAUCGCUUACCACAAGUGUCCGAGCGUUACGUGUGUGCCAUAUAAAUAUUCUGUUUCUCCCUACUUAUUUACGGAUGCGUCAGACUAGUGCACUGCUGGCGCAUCCCGACGGUUCGCCACGGGUAGUAUAUAUCCGCCUGUACCGGGGCAUGCAGGCCUGGAGGCCCGGUGCUGUGCGGGUGAUACUGCACCGUGGGUCCCGACGUCUCAUUUUGGCUUUUAUUUCGAUGUUGUCUUUUAUUUCUCCUUUCUAGAACGCAACAUCUCUUGGAUCCUCAGCCUACGCUGGUUUACCGAAUCCUGAAGUCCACAGUUUACACUUCUUUGAGCAUGACUUCCUAGGAAGAAUUCCAAGUGGAAUGUGAUGAUGUGGGAAGGAUUGUGGACAGCUAGUCCAUCCUCUAUCAAUGUGAGUAGACUGUCUUUGUUGAAGUUUUCAAGUGAAUAACCGUUUAGCAUUUGUAAGUUCAUGUAGUCUGGAAACUGUUUUCUUUGUAUAAAUGUCAAGGCUAACCAAAGUAUUAAUACAAAGACAGAAAAGAGAAAAAUUUAGAAAUUUUCUUUACUAGCCAACCCCAGGGAAUAUUUCCAAGCAUUAGUUUUACAUGUUCAUUUACAUGUUGAUGAUAUUCACUAAGAAUGUUCAGGUUCUUUUACAAUUAAUACUGCAUUUCUGUUUGCACUCAGUUUGCACUUGGCAUGCUGUUUUGCGUUUGU